rnacentral:rRNA from 1 species
CGUGAUGACAAAAUCACCCGUAGUGUGCCCGAACUCGUCAGAUCUCGGAAGCUAAGCAGGCUUGAGCCUGGAUAGUGCUCAGAUGGGUGACCACGCAUACAACAGGUGUUAUAGGC